rnacentral:lncRNA from 10 species
CAUGUGCAUGGUCCAUAUACAUAUGAUACAUACAUAUCAUGUGCAUGGUCCAUAUACAUAUGAUACAUACAUAUCAUGUGCAUGGUCCAUAUACAUAUGAUACAUACAUAUCAUGUGCAUGGUCCAUAUACAUAUGAUACAUAUAAUGUAUACAUAAUAUGUAUAUAUUAAUAACACAUUUUUGUUAUUAAUUGGUAAGAGUUCUUAAUGUAUUCUGGGUAUGAGUACUUUCUCAGAUAGAAACAUAUACAUAUAUUAUGAUAAAAUUAUUAUUCCAGGCUGUGGCUUGCCUUUUCACUUCUUGUGUCCUGUUUAAGAAAUAUCUGCUAUCCCAAGCAUCUGGCAUCUUUCUUGACAUAUGUAGCAGUUGCUUUUUGACAGCUUGCUUCUUCAGUGAAUGAAUAAAUUAAUAAAGAGAAAUGUGAUGUUCAGUGAUCCAUUUUGCAGGUAAGAAAACUGAGGCAGACAGAGGAUGUUAGCAAGCAAGAGGCCUUGGCCUACAAUUUAGAUCACUGGACUCUUACUCCAGAUGCAAUCUGCAGAACCCACAUACUUUUAAUUAGUCCCUUUGUCUAUGUUCUGCCACUGUCACUUCUAAGGAAGGUGUGUCAUCCCAAAUGGGGUAGUAUCUUAUUGGUAGACCUAAAUCUGCUGUGUUCGCCAUCUCACCUACAUGAGUAUCUAUGUGUAGCAUUCUGCAUAUUCAUCUUUUCCACCUUCUGGAGGUUUUGUCUUUUUAUAGGCAGCAUGUGAAUAACAAUGGGGCCAAACUGGGGACCAGAAGGGGCCAUUUUCUAGUUCUGAACAUAGAUAAGCAUCACUAACUUUUCCCUCCUGGCAGUAAUGGCCUCAAAAGUUCCAACUUAGGAGAAAAAGGCAAAACCGUCUGCCAAAGUGUGUGAAAAGUUAGAGCAAACCUUGGUUUUACCAAGAACCUGUGUCCCUCUUAUGGAAAUUCACACUUUCACACUUUUAGACAAAUAUUAAAUGUGUGACAUUCUAUUACGUACAGUGCCUGGCACAUCUAGACACGCAGCACACUUUAGCCCCCUUCUUUCUUCUUCUAACUCCAAGUUCUAAACUAGAAAAAGCCCCACUUGAGUCUGAGAUUUGCUUUUUGAACUAGUUUAUUUCAGAUUGUAAUCAUGCUAUCUAGGGUUGUGACAGUGUUUGCUAUUUCUAGGGCACUUUGACCUGAUUCUUUUUGCACAGGAAACUUGUUCUACCCUUUUGCCCACUUCACUGAAGUGAGGACUGAGACAGAGAAGGAUUAAGUCACUUUUUAUUUAACAAAUAUUUGUUCCACAUUCCUCAGCAUUUAUUAAAUACUGGUGCAUAAUGAUGGAAUAAAUUUUAUACCGUAAGGAUAAACCAGUAUUCUGGACUAAGCCAACGUGGGAGACCCUAGGAGGCCUGUUUGAGAAAGUGACAUUUAAAUUGAGACUUGGCGGUGGCUGUGGCUACAUAUCUAGUAAGUGGCUGGGUUGGGAUUUGAACUCAUGCCUGCUUAGCUCUAAAGAUGAUGCUUUUGGCUUUGUACUCUGCUCUCUCUCUAGACAAACUCUGGUCCAAAAUCGUUAAAGCUAACAUUUAUCCCUGCCCAACUGGAAUUGUCAUGUUAUGACAAAUGGCUCUGUGGUCUCAGAUGCCCAGCAGACCCAUUAGUGGAAUUCUAUGUGCUACAGACCUGGGCAAAAUGCCAGAGCCUUAUACACCCAUCACAUUUCGUCUGGCAAAGGUCUUCAACAAAGAGAAGUAAUUACAGCAAUGAAAAGCAACAGGUCCAGCAACACCAUAAGAACAAAAUAAUUAAUUUCCCUAAAAUAGAAGAAACCAUUUAUAGAGUAAGAGCCGAUACAAUCAAUAAUUGGAAGAAAUAGAAGAGGCUUUAGUAUUCUAGCCUUCUUUAUUUGUAGAUGUAAAUGUCGAGCCUCAGAGAAGUUAUAUAUCUAAUUAGUGUCACUCAGGUAGAUAACAACAGAAUUAGGAUUAGAACUUAAUUCUUAUGACUCCCAGAGCAGGGAAAAGACAGGAUGAAGUCCCAAAACAUUGCGUGUGAACUCACAUCUGACUCUGAAUUGAGAGUCUGCUAUUUACUCCCUAUGUGACCAGAAUCCUUCAGAGCCCAUGAGAUUCCCUGUCAUAGAGUAGAUUUUGAUCCACACUAGGCAUUUUUACCUCUUGCUCUUUGAGUUGGUGCCCCAUGUUUACUCAGAAAUAUUCCAAAGGUGUUACAUCUAUUGGUUUUACAUGUUGAGCACAGAUCAUUAUAAGACAAAUUGAAAUGAAAACAUCAACAAGUCUCAUUCAUUGUCUAACUUACGCUGAGCAAUAUUUAAUAACUAGAAUAUCAAGAGAGUCCAAAGUGUUUGCCCAUCCCCUCAAGACCAAUGUAAUGGAAUUUUACUCUUAUCACCUGCUCAGGGUAGUGGCAAUUCAGGAUACAGAGGACAGAAAUAAAGAAUCAUGACACACAAUCCACAGAAUUCACAGAUGCCAAACAUCUACCCUUCUCUGUCACCACACAUUGGACUCACAUGGUGGAAAUAGGCAACACAAGCAGAGAGGUGGCUUAACCUUUCAUAAUUUUUCAACGACCUAUGGGAAGAGAGUUUUCUUGGUUCAAAUCCCAGCUUAGCCACACAGAGUGUGGUAAUAUUGGGCAAGUCAACCAAGCUCUCUGUGCUUCAGUUUCCUCAUUAUUAAAAUGGGGGAAAUAAUAGUGCCUGCAUCAGAGGGUUGUUGUGAGAACUAAACGAAAUAAUUUAUCUGAGCUUUAGAACCCACACCAUAUUAGUUAAAAAUUCAUGCAUUUUCUUUUAUUAUAUUUCUCUACCUUAGACUGCAAACUCUAAGAGGAAAGGCCGGACUGUUAUAUUCAUAAAGCAUUACAGGAACAGUAAUUAGAACUAGGAGCUUUUCAAUGGCCUGCCUGAAAUCUGAAAAAUAGGUAUAUUAUUUGAAAUUUUGAAAAAAUCAAAUAAUUAAAAAUUAAUAGAUGUUAAUAAAAUAUCUGUAAUAUGUAAUAUCAAGGUCAACUCAACUCUUAAUUGUUUAUAUAAAAUAUAGUGAAGUUUAAAUUGCAAAAUCUUACAGAAAAUGUGCUAUUAAAACUCAAAAGUAUAAUUCUUUCUAAUAUGUAUAUAUAUGUAUAUAGUUUUAUUUUAAGUUCAGGGGCACAUGUGCAAGUUUGUUACCUAGGGAAACUCACGUCACAGGACUUUGUUAUACAGAUACUUUCAUCACCCAGGUAUUAAGCCUAGUGCUCAUUAGUUAUUUUUCCUGAUCCUCUCCCUCCUCCCAACCUCCACCCUCAGGUAGGCCUCAGUAUCUCUUGUUCCCCUCUAUGUGUUCAUGAGUUCUUAUCAUUUAGCUCCCACUUACAAGUGAGAACAUGUGGCAUUUGGUUUUCUGUUCCUGCCUUAGUUUGCUAAGGAAAGCACUGUGGCAAUUUCUCAAAGGACUAAAAACGGAAUUACCAUUCAACCCAGCAAUCCCAUUACUAGUUACGUACUCAAAUAUUUUUAAGGCAAAACAAAGCUGCAACCAGAACACCUGGACUCCCUGAAACCCCUUCCACUGAUGUUGUUGUUGUUGUUUCUUUUUCCCCAGCUUCUCAGGCCAAAAUACUGGAUCAUCUUGGGCACUGUUCUCUCCUGCCCACCCUUUCCCAUAUGCAGAGUGUUGUCACUUCUCUCUGCUUCCACUGCUAACUCCCUGGUCCAAGCCGCUGCACCACUUUUCGUGAUUAUUGCCACAGUCUCCUCACUGGUUCCCUGCCCCCACUCUUGCUCUGAACUAUCCAGUUAAAACCUGAAUUAGAUCAUCUCAUCCUCAUCUCAGAGCUUUCUCGUGGCUCCUCUGCCCUCUCAGGAAAAAAUCUAAAUUCUAGAUGACCUAAAAAUCCCUUGUCUCUUACUGUUUAUCUGACCUCAUUUACUACCACCUUUUUCUUUGAUCAUUCUGUUCCAGCCACACUGGCCUCCUUACCACUCCUCAAAUAUGCCAAGCACAGCCCCCACCCCCCAGGGCUUUGAACUGGCUGAUCCCCCUUCCUGGAAUGCCUUACCCCAAAUAUCAACUUAGCCAACUCCCUCCUCUCCUCCAAGUGUCUGUUUAAACAUGGCUUCAGUAGGAGCUGUCUUAACAUCCUAUUAAUAUUGUAAUUCCUCUCAUGACACUUUACACCCCCUUCCCUGAUAUGCUUUCCAUAUACCAUGCAAUAUCUGCUGAGAUAAUAUAUAAUUCACUUAUUUUCUUUAUUGUCAUUUCAAAGAGGGCGGUGUGUUCUGUGUUUUAUUUAGUGCCAAAAUACUUGCUGAUGAAGAGAGUUCCUGCCACAUAGUAGGUGCUCAAUAUGUGCUUGUUGAAUAAAUGUGUCAAUGUUUGAUGUACAGACCUUUUAUUAUGUUUGAUUUGCUGCCAGUGCUGCCUCCAAACACAGGAGUGCUUCAUGAGAUGUUCACAAAAGCUCUUAAAAUAUUCCACAAAAAUCUUAAAAUAUUUCAUGAGUUUUCUUUCCUGUAUUUUUAUAGCAGCAUCUGGAAUUUAGCCUGCAUAGGACCCUCUGUAAGCUGACCCUGUUUAUCUAUUCAGCUUUACUUCUCCCCUCUCUCCACUUUGUAUUUUAUUCUCUACUACUUCCAACUGAUUGUAAUUUGACCAGACUCCAGACUAUCUUAUGCCUCUUUGCUUUUGUUUACCUGUUACUUCUCUCUGGAAUUCCCUGCCCCUUCUUAAUUUUUCUGGCCAAUUCUCACUCUCUAGGACUCAGAGGUUUCUCCUCAGGAGACUUCCAUGAGUCUCAUGUUGAGUUAGGUGACCCCAAUCCUCUGUUCUUCAUAGUCAUUCGCGCAUUUAUCUAGCUCAGCAUUUGCCAUACUACAUUGAAAUUAUUUCCUUAUGUGCCCAUCACUCCCCGUAGAUUGCAAACUCCUAGAGAAGGGCUCAACAGUGAGUGCUGAGGCUGCACAGAGGAGGAAGGCAGCACAAUGAUGGAAGGCUUCCUAAAGAGAUAACACUAACAAAGUUGACCUUAGAAUUGGAGUGCCUGGGUUAGAACCCUGCUGGUACCACCUGCUUACUGCAUGCUUCUGAUGUGAGUUCAGGAGAAGACACUGGCAAGGACAGCAAAGAACAGGAGAACACUCUAGCUUCCCUGAUAGCAUUCAAGGUGCUGUCCAAACUGACUGUGAUGGCACCCUCCAGACAGACAGCGAUGCCACAUGUUCAAGAUGGCAGAAUCACUAUCAGCUUCAAUUCCUGAAUGACUGCAGAGCAAAAUUUCUUACCUGCAACAUACACUCUAUUUUCAGCCUCCCUGGACUGUUACAUAAUGAUACAUAAAAAUAUUUCUUGUGUUGAGGCAUCCCAAAUUUGAUUUAUUUGUCAUCACAGUCUAUCCUAUGAAUAUAUUUCUGAUCCAAAUAAUGCUAGAUUCAUGAGAGUUUAUAGUCCAGAGAUUUUUUUUUUUUUUUUGAGACAGAAUCUGUCUCCCAGGCUGGGGUGCAGUGGCAUAAUCUUAGCUCACUGCAACCUCUGCCUCCCGGGCUCAAGUGAUCCUCCCUCCUUAGCCUCCAUGAGUAGCUGGGACCACAGGUGUGCACCACCACACCCCGCUAAUUAUUUUGUAUUUUUUGCAGAGGGGGGUUUCACCACAUUGCCCAAGCUGGUCUCAAACUCCUAGACUUAAGGGAUCUGCCUGCCUUGGCCUCCCAAAAUGCUGAAAUUACACUUGUUAGCCAUAGUAAUAGUUCCUAGCCAUAGUCCGGAGAUAUUUUAAAAACUUUAGUGUGAGUUAUUUCUCUUUGCUAUAAUUCUCUCAUGCAUUUUGAAAACCUUUUCUGCCAUACAGUGGUUUUUGGGAAGUCCUUUUGGACAGACAUAUCACAGGAUGGAGAAACUAAAAAGAGAGAAUGCAUUAAAGAAAAAAUAGUACUUCGUAUUUCAGAAAUUACAAAAGGGUGUCAUGCCCCACAGCAUGGUGGGCAGUCAUUUGUAACCCACAGAACAUUGAGUUUCUAAAAUUUGAGUGUUUUUAACUUACGAAGGCCAACUUUACUGAUGAAGUGAUUACCCCAAAUAUGUGAAAUCCAUAUUUCAAGUACAAUAGUAGGAAAUUGGAAAUGGGUAGGUAUAUUUCUGACUGUCAAAGAGUACAAAGUAAAGAGGGGCCCCUGAAGAGUGACACUACUGGAAAAACAGAAGAAAAAAAAAACUGUUUCUUUUUUUAAAGAGCAGUCAACCUCAAACUUACUACUAAUGACUGUAUUUCAUUUCAGUCUACCCCAGUGGUUUUGUUUCUCAUAGACUGUAGAAUGUAAGCCUUUUUGGUCAUUCUGACAGAUUUUCCAGCACAAAGAAUAUCAGGGGAUUAACUGACAAAUCAUGGGUAUUUUUGGCAAGAUAGUAGAUUAACCCUGGAAAUUUUCUCCAUCUAUGAGAAAAAAAGACAUGUGCCACCUGAGGGUUACAAAGACUGUUGGUGGCUGACCUCAGGCUCCUGUCUUUUAUUUUAUUUUAUUUUUUUACCAUUUUACCUCUGCCCUGUUUUUUUAAAUUAUUAUUAUUUUACUUUAAGUUCUGGGAUACAUGUGCAGAACUGCGGGUUUGUUACAUGUGCCAUGGUGGUUUGCUGCACCUAUCAACCCGUCAUCUAGGUUUUAAGUCCCACAUGCAUUAGGUAUUUGUCGUAAUGCUCUCCCUCCCCUUGGGCCCCACCCCUCAACGCGCCCCACCCCUCAACAGGCCCCAGGGUGUGAUGUUCCUCUCUGUGUGUCCUUGUGUUCUCACUGUUCAGCUCCCACUUAUGAGUGAGAACACACAGUGUUUGGUUUUCUGUUCCUGUGUUAGUUGGCUGAGAAUUAUGGCUUGCAGCUUCAUCCAUGUCCCUGUAAAGGACAUGAACCCAUUAUUUUUUGUGGCUGCAUAGUAUUCCAUGGUAUAUGCCAUGUGCCAUGUUUGCUUUAUCAUUGAUGGGCAUUUGGGUUGGUUCCAAGUCUUUUCUAUUGUAAUUAGUGCUGCAAUAAGCAUACGUGUGCAUGUGUCUUUAUAGUAGAAUGAUUUAUAAUCCUUUGGGUAUAUACCCAGUAAUGGGAUUGCUGGGUCAAAUGGUAUUUCUGGUUCUAGAUGCUUGAGGAAUCAUCACACUGUCUUCCACAAUGGUUGAACUAAUUUACACUCCCACAAACAGUGUAAAAGCGUUCCUAUUUCUCCACAGCAUCACCAGCAUCUGUUGUUUCCUGACUUCUUAAUAAUUGCCAUUCUAACUGGUGUGAGAUGGUAUCUCAUCAUGGUUUUGAUUUGCAUUUUUCUAAUGACCAGUGAUGAUGAGUUUUUUUCAUAUGUUUGUUGGCCAAAUAAAUGUCUUCUUUUGAGAAGUAUCUGUUCAUAUCCUUUGCCCAUUUAUUGAUGGGGUUGCUUGAUUUUUUUCUUGUAAAUUUGUUUUCAGUUCCUUGUAAAUUCUAGAUAUUAGACCUUUGUCAGAUGGGUAGACUGCAAAAAUUUUCUCCCAUUCUAUAGGUUGCUUGUUCACUAUGGUGAUAAUUUCUUUUGCUGAACAGAAGCUCUUUAGUUAAUUAGAUCCCAUUUGUCAAUUUUGGCUUUUGUUGCCAUUGCUUUUGAUGCUUUAGUCAUGAAGUCUCUGCCCAUGCCUGUGUCCUGAAUGGUAUUGCCUGGGUUUUCUUCUAGGGUUUUUAUGGUUUGGGGUUUUACAUUCAAGGCUUUAAUCCAUCUUGAGUUAAUUUUUGUAUAAGGUAUAAGGAAGGGGUUCAGUUUCUGUUUACUGCAUAUGGCUAGCCAGUUUUCCUAGCACCAUUUAUUAAAUAGAAAGUCCUUUCCCCAUUGCUUGUUUUUGUCAGGUUUGUCAAAGGUCAGAUGGUUGUAGAUGUGUGGUGUUAUUUCUGAGGUCUCUGUUUCAUUGGUCUAUAUAUCUGUUUUGGUACCAGUACCAUGCUGUUUUGGUUACUGUAGCCUUGUAGUAUAGUUUGAAGUCAGGUAGUAUGAUGCCUCCAGCUUUGUUCUUUUUGCUUAGGAUUGUCUUGGCUAUAUGGGCUCUUUUUUGGUUCCAGAUGAAAUUUAAAGUAGUUUUUUUCUAAUGCUGCAAAAAAAGUCAAUGUUAGCUUGAUGGGAGUAGCAUUGAAUCUAUACAUUACUUUGCUCUGCCCCUGUUUAUACAUACAUGACUGAUAUGGUUUGGCUGUGUCCCUGCCCAAAUCUCAUCUUGAAUUCCCACAUGUUGUGGGAGGAACCUGGGGGGAGGCAACUGAUCAUGGGGCAAGUCUUUGCCAUGCUGUUCUUGUGAUAGUGAAUAAGUCUCAUGAGAUCUGACGGUUUUAAAAAGAGGAGUUCCCCUGCACAAAUUCUCUCUCUUUGCCUGCUGCCAUCCAUGUAAGGCAUGACUUACUCCUCCUUGCCUUCUGCCAUGAUUGUGGGGCUUCCUCAGCCAUGUGAAACUGUAAGUCCAAUUAAACAUCUUUCUUUUGUAAAUUGCCCCGUCUCAGGUAUGUCUUUAUCAGCAGUGUGAAAAUGGACUAAUACAAUGAUACAAGAGUAGUUAGAACAGUAUUUAUAAAUGUGCCAAUGUUAAUCAACAUAGGAGUUAACGAUUCCCUGUUUUUCUGUGAUUUCUCAUGCACCAAAAAUAUAUUAAGAUAAAAUAUACAAUUUUCAUUCACUAUUAAGUGACUAACCUCAUAUUGCUUUCAAAGGCAUUUAUUGGCACCUACUAUGUGUGAAUACACUCAGCUUGCUUAUGUGAAAGCUGAAUAACAAAGUGGUUAUGUAACUUAAUGAAGGUCCCACAACUAGGAAGUGGUAGAGUAACUUUCUAAACCACUUUCCUCCCAGUUUAGUUUCACAUUCAUGUGUUCAGUCAACAAGCACUUAUGGAAUCCUGAUGCUGGGCCCUACUUUAUGGUAGACACUGAAGAUACAGACUUUGUCCCUGCCCUCAUGGAGUUCACAGUUCAGGAGGGAAACCAGAUUUAAUCAAAUAACCACACAAAAAUUUGCUCGUAAAAUGAAACCAAUGCUAUAAGGAAAAUGAACAGGGUGAUUUGAGAGCAUAUAAUAGGAUUUUAUCAUAUCUGAUGAUUCAGAGUAAUGUUCUCCUAUAGAAGAGAUGUGGGAACUGACAUCUGAAGUGUCAGUGUUAGUUAGCCAGGUGUGGUAUAUAAAAGAUGACCAGCUUAUCCACCAAGAGGUAGAAUUGCUUUCCCCAUGCAUUAAAUCUGGACUGGCCUUUGACUUGCAGUGUCCAACAGAUAAAGUGGAAGUUUCUGCUCUUGCUCCCUUGGAAUAUUGUUCUGAGACUGCCAGCUGAAGAAGUCUAGUCUAGUCUAGUUUAUUAGUGGAUGAGAGGCUGGUAGAAAAGCGAAAAACUGUUGCAGCUGAGUCCCCUGAGUCCAACCAGUUGACAGCCUGCAGCGACUGUGUGAGGCCAUCUUAGAUUAUUCAGCCCCACUACAGAUGCCAAAUAUCUGCAGCUGUAAAAGUGAUUCCAGGCAAUAACAGAAGAACCAUCCUGCUGAUCCUAGCCCAAAUUGCUGGCCAUAGAACCAUGAGCUAAUAAGACAGCUGUGGUUAUAAUAUAUUGAGUUUGGGGUUGGCAUGUUACAUGGCAGUCAGUUAUUGAUACCCUGAGAGAAGUAUGGAAGCUGGGACUGAAUUCUAGGAAGAGGGAAAGAUAUAGGCAAAGGUCCUGAGGAGGGAAGAAUAAACUUUUAGAGAACUGAAAGAAAGAUGAUGAGAUAGAAGACUUCAGAGGGCUAGGCAAGGCCCAAGUCUAAAAGCAGUGUCUUAGAAUCUGUCAAAAAUCUCAUCUUUUUAUUGUUGUUUGGAACAAAGUCUUUCUUUAUUGCCUAGGCUGCAGUCAUGCAGUGGCACAAUUAAAGCUCACUUCAGCCUCGACCUCCUGAGCUCAAGCAAUCAGCCUCCUGACUAGCUGGGACUACAGGUGUGGAUGACUAUACCCAGCUAUUUUUUUUUUUUUAUUUUUUGUAGAAACAGGGUCUUACCAUGUUGCUCAGGCUGGUCUCAGACUUCUGGGCUCAAGCAAUCCUCCUGCCUCAGCCUCCCAAAGUGUUUGGAUUAUAGGCAUGAGCUAGCAUGCUCGGCUGUGAGUUCAAUUUUUUUCUUUAAAAGCAAGAGAAAGUCACUGUAGAGAUUUUGAGCUCAGAAGUGUCAUGAAUAGACUUGCACAUGUGCAUAUAUUGUUUUUUUUUUUUUUCACCAGGCGCAAACUUAUGGUGGAAGGGACCUACAUUAAGCACACAUAAGUAGAAGCUGGCCAGGCACGGUGGCUCAUGCCUGUAAUCCCAGCACUUUGGGAGGCCGAGACUGGUGGAUCACGAGGUCAGGAGAUCGAGACCAUCCUGGCUAACAUGGUGAAACCCCGUCUCUAUCAAAAAUACAAAAAAAAAUUAGCCAGGUAUGGUGGGGGGCGCCUAUACUCCCAGCUACUCGGGAGGCUAAGGCAGAAGAACGGC